rnacentral:rRNA from 1 species
GGAAUAUUGGACAAUGGGGGCAACCCUGAUCCAGCCAUGCCGCGUGUGUGAAGAAGGCCUUUUGGUUGUAAAGCACUUUAAGCAGUGAAGAAGACUCCAUGGUUAAUACCCAUGGACGAUGACAUUAGCUGCAGAAUAAGCACCGGCUAACUCUGUGCCAGCAGCCGCGGUAAUACGUAGGGUGCAAGCGUUAAUCGGAAUUACUGGGCGUAAAGCGUGCGCAGGCGGUUUUGUAAGACAGAGGUGAAAUCCCCGGGCUUAACCUGGGAACGGCAUCUGAUACUGUUAGGCUAGAGUAGGUGAGAGGAAGGUAGAAUUCCAGGUGUAGCGGUGAAAUGCGUAGAGAUCUGGAGGAAUACCGAUGGCGAAGGCAGCCUUCUGGCAUCAUACUGACACUGAGGUUCGAAAGCGUGGGUAGCAAACAGG